GGGCCUCGUUUGGACUUCCAUUUUACGCUGAGGGGAAACCUGAAACCUUGACAAUUAUGACUGAAGCCAUAAUCCUGCUGGUGGUGUGUGGUAUGGCUGCUAUAUCCUCGGCACAAAGACUAUCCGCGAUAGUGAAACCUUACCCCAUAU